rnacentral:rRNA from 1 species
UACGAAGGGGGCUAGCGUUGCUCGGAAUCACUGGGCGUAAAGCGCACGUAGGCGGCUUCUUAAGUCAGGGGUGGAAAUCCUGGAGCUCAACUCCAGAACUGCCUUUGAUACUGAGGAGCUUGAGUCCGGGAGAGGUGAGUGGAACUGCGAGUGUAGAGGUGAAAUUCGUAGAUAUUCGCAAGAACACCAGUGGCGAAGGCGGCUCACUGGCCCGGUACUGACGCUGAGGUGCGAAAGCGGUGGGGAGCAAACAGG